rnacentral:misc_RNA from 1 species
UAUAUGUCAAAUGUUUGAUUUAGUACAUUCAAUACCACAUGCUACAACUAACUGCUUCCAGUAGCUGUGGAGACUUCGGCACUGCAGACAGGGCAGACCUUGUUUAUCUUUAACCAAUUAUUUAUGCACUCGGAAUGGUAUGAGUGUUUGCAAGAGAGAACGGUCAAAGUUUCACCAUCCUCGAAAUCCAAUCGACAAAUGACGCACGAAUCGUUGCUUCCAGUCUGACCGCUCCCUGCCUUGAAG